CUCCUACUCCCUCCGUUCCAAAUUACUCGUAGAAAAAUGGAUGCAUCUAGAACUAAAAUACAUAUAGAUAUAUCCAUACCUACGACAAGUAAUUUGGAACGGAGGGAGUAGAUU
rfam:Triticum aestivum genome assembly, contig: Triticum_aestivum_CS42_TGACv1_scaffold_306251_4AS